UGGGGAAUUUUGGACAAUGGGCGCAAGCCUGAUCCAGCCAUGCCGCGUGCGGGAAGAAGGCCUUCGGGUUGUAAACCGCUUUUGUCAGGGAAGAAAUCUUCUGAGUUAAAUACCUCGGGAGGAUGACGGUACCUGAAGAAUAAGCACCGGCUAACUACGUGCCAGCAGCCGCGGUAAUACGUAGGAUGCAAGCGUUAAUCGGAAUUACUGGGCGUAAACGUGCGCAGGCGGUUUUGUAAGACAGAGGUGAAAUCCCCGGGCUCAACCUGGGAACUGCCUUUGUGACUGCAAGGCUUGAGUGCGGGCAGAGGGGGGAUGGAAUUCCGCGUGUAGCAGUGAAAAUGCGUAGAUAUGCGGAGGAAACACCGAUGGCGAAAGGCAAUCCCCUGGGCCUGCACUGACGCUCAUGCACGAAAGCGUGGGGAGCAAACAGGAUUAGAUACCCUGGUAGUCCACGCCCUAAAACGAUGUCAACUGGUUGUUGGGAA
rnacentral:rRNA from 1 species